GGCGAAUCUCCUGUGACACCGGUGCUGUGAACAGAUUCUGGAAUGUAUGGCAAAAUUUACGUACGAUAGAAAAGGCGCUGAAUGUAUUAUACAGCACUGGCACUAUCCUGUUAUUACGCACCAAACACUCGAACAGUAUUAGAGAUACUGUUCGGGGAAAAUAUCGCAAAUCAACAAGCAGAACUCAAGACGGGCAAAAUUAGUAAGUCAGUUUUCAUCAGUAUUUUUUGUAUAUUCG